rnacentral:rRNA from 1 species
GCUUAUCAAUAAGCGGAGGAAAAGAAACCAACAGAGAUUGCCCUAGUAACGGCGAGUGAAGCGGCAACAGCUCAAAUUUGAAAUCUGGCUCUUUCAGAGUCCGAGUUGUAAUUUGCAGAGGGCGCUUUGGCUUUGGCAGCGGUCCAAGUUCCUUGGAACAGGACGUCACAGAGGGUGAGAAUCCCGUACGUGGUCGCUAGCUAUUGCCGUGUAAAGCCCCUUCGACGAGUCGAGUUGUUUGGGAAUGCAGCUCUAAAUGGGAGGUAAAUUUCUUCUAAAGCUAAAUAUUGGCCAGAGACCGAUAGCGCACAAGUAGAGUGAUCGAAAGAUGAAAAGCACUUUGGAAAGAGAGUCAAACAGCACGUGAAAUUGUUGAAAGGGAAGCGCUUGCAGCCAGACUUGCUUGCAGUUGCUCAUCCGGGCUUUUGCCCGGUGCACUCUUCUGCAGGCAGGCCAGCAUCAGUUUGGGCGGUGGGAUAAAGGUCUCUGUCACGUACCUUCCUUCGGGUUGGCCUUAUAGGGGAGACGCCAUACCACCAGCCUGGACUGAGGUCCGCGCAUCUGCUAGGAUGCUGGCGUAAUGGCUGUAAGCGGCCCGUCUUGAAACACGGACCAAGGAGUCUAACAUCUAUGCGAGUGUUUGGGUGUCAAGCCCGAGCGCGUAAUGAAAGUGAACGGAGGUGGGAACCCGCAAGGGUGCACCAUCGACCGAUCCUGAAGUUUACGGAAGGAUUUGAGUAAGAGCAUGGCUGUUGGGACCCGAAAGAUGGUGAACUAUGCUUGAAUAGGGUGAAGCCAGAGGAAACUCUGGUGGAGGCUCGCAGCGGUUCUGACGUGCAAAUCGAUCGUCAAAUUUGGGCAUAGGGGCGAAAGACUAAUCGAACUAUCUAGUAGCUGCUGCUGC